CUUUCUUUUAUUUCAUGCUUUCAUGAAAUGCGUCAUAUCACAACGAAUACACAUCAAACAUUUCUUCCCCGCUUGAGUUCACGCUAGCAAUCUCUUCCUCUUGCGGGUGAUUUUAGAGGGUUCUCGAAACGUCCUUCCCCUCAGGGUUAGACAUGACCCCAACAUUCCCUCUGUCAAAACUUGGCCCCGAAGGAGCUCUCAUAGGGCUUUCCUACAUGUACUUGCCCGACU
rnacentral:lncRNA from 1 species